rnacentral:tRNA from 1 species
GUAAAUAUAGUUUACUAACAAACCUCAGACUGUGAAUCUGAAAACAGAAGCUUAAAUCUUCUUAUUUACC